rnacentral:rRNA from 1 species
GGAUCCAGACUUUGAUUCUGGCUCAGGAUGAACGCUAGCUACAGGCUUAACACAUGCAAGUCGAGGGGCAGCAUGUCGGUUGCUUGCAACCGACGAUGGCGACCGGCGCACGGGUGAGUAACGCGUAUCCAACCUACCCUUGUCCAUCGGAUAACCCGUCGAAAGGCGGCCUAACACGAUAUGCGGUUCACCGCAGGCAUCUAACGUGAACGAAAUGUGAAGGAGAAGGAUGGGGAUGCGUCUGAUUAGCUUGUUGGCGGGGUAACGGCCCACCAAGGCGACGAUCAGUAGGGGUUCUGAGAGGAAGGUCCCCCACAUUGGAACUGAGACACGGUCCAAACUCCUACGGGAGGCAGCAGUGAGGAAUAUUGGUCAAUGGACGAGAGUCUGAACCAGCCAAGUAGCGUGCAGGAUGACGGCCCUAUGGGUUGUAAACUGCUUUUAUAGGGGGAUAAAGUGUGCCACGUGUGGCAUAUUGCAGGUACCCUAUGAAUAAGGACCGGCUAAUUCCGUGCCAGCAGCCGCGGUAAUACGGAAGGUCAGGGCGUUAUCCGGAUUUAUUGGGUUUAAAGGGAGCGUAGGCCGUCUUAUAAGCGUGUUGUGAAAUGUCGGGGCUCAACCUGGGCAUUGCAGCGCGAACUGUGAGACUUGAGUGCGCAGGAAGUAGGCGGAAUUCGUCGUGUAGCGGUGAAAUGCUUAGAUAUGACGAAGAACUCCGAUUGCGAAGGCAGCCUGCUGUAGCGCAACUGACGCUGAAGCUCGAAAGCGUGGGUAUCGAACAGGAUUAGAUACCCUGGUAGUCCACGCGGUAAACGAUGGAUGCUCGCUGUUUGCGUCUGACGUAAGCGGCCAAGCGAAAGCGUUAAGCAUCCCACCUGGGGAGUACGCCGGCAACGGUGCAACUCAAAGGAAUUGACGG